CAGCAGCCGCGGUAAUACGAAGGGUGCAAGCGUUAAUCGGAAUUACUGGGCGUAAAGCGUGCGUAGGCGGUGAGUUAAGUCUGCUGUGAAAUCCCCGGGCUCAACCUGGGAAUGGCAGUGGAUACUGGCUCGCUAGAGUGUGUCAGAGGAUGGUGGAAUUCCCGGUGUAGCAGUGAAAUGCGUAGAUAUGCGGAGGAACACCGAUGGCGAAGGCAGCCCCCUGGGCCAACACUGACGCUCAUGCACGAAAGCGUGGGGAGCAAACAGGAUUAGAUACCCGCGUAGUCCCUGUCUCUUAUAA
rnacentral:rRNA from 1 species